UACGAACGGAUGCGAGUUUUAAGAAAACAUGCGGAUGCGAUAUGCAUGAUGACAUGAUGAAAUGCAACAAGCAAAAAUAAAACACAUGGUGACAACAAAAUAGCUGGAAGACUUCUGGAGCGUCGGUCUUGGGGCGUCACAAUGGGUCACUUGGGUGAAAAUCAUGGAAAUGCCCAAGUGUUUAAGUCCAAGUGAGUUGAUUCAAAAACUCAAAUUCAAAGCAAAUGGCAAGAAAAUCUAGAAAAAGAAAGAGGGCAAAACCAGGCUGUCACAUGGGGCAAUCUGUAAAGAGCAGACACCUAGAAUUUUGAGCAUGGGGGAGGUAUUGACACCAAGAAAAGGAGACUACCUUCUGAGCGGGAUAUUUGAAUCUAAAGGACCAUAGAGUGAAGUCGCUCACAAUAUUCAUAAUAAUGGUGAGGCCAGCGGUCUGGUCUUCAUUGCGAAAGACAAGAUGAAGCUUUCCUUGAGUCCCAAAUCUUCCGUGUAAUGGAGAGAGCCGCCAAAUGUUGUUGACGAGGCCAACUGGAGAGCAGAUGUCCCAGAUGAGGUCCAUUGCGGUGGGCUUCGAAAGGCCCAACUCUUGCCAAACCUGAGUAGCAUGCGGGAAGUGGAUGAACAUGUGCAUCACAUCCUGGAAACUAGGGCAGGAGUUAGCGGAGGUGAUGUUAUUGUGGAAGAGAUUGCUUUUGGAGUAGAGGCAAUCUUUGAGGAGCAGACACUCAGAAAUUUGAGUGUGAGAGUCAUUGGCACCGAGACAAGGUGGUGGAGACCUUGGUACUGAAUUCAUGCUCCAGCUAGUUGCUCCCAAAUUCCGAACUGAUGGAGGGAGGCGGGCAAUAUAUUUCAACACUCCCCCUCACGUCUAGGACAUUUUAGUCCUUAGACGUGGGAUCGAUGUAGGCCACAUAAUCAUUUUUAUUUUAUACUACGUUGGCAGGGUCUUGAACUCAAGACCUCUUGGCUCUGAUACCAUAUUGAAUUCAUGCUUCAGCCAGUUGCUCCAAAAGUCUGAACUGAUGGAGGGAGGCAGGCAAUAUAUUUCAACACUUGGAUAUUUGAAUCUAAUAAAGGACCAAAGGGUGAAGUCGCUGACUAUUUUCCUAACGGUGAUGCCAGCGGGUUGGAGUUCCUUUUGCAGAAGAUGCAAGUGUUCUUUGAGUCUCAAAUCUUUUGGUAGAAUGGGAAGAGACACCUGCGACCAAAUCUCGUUGUCGAGGCCAACCAGAGAGGGGGUGCCCCAUACGAGGUCAAAAACAUUCCAUAGAAUGGAGAGAGCCUUUGGCGCCACUUCCCAUUGUUGAGGGCAAUUGAAGAGGGGACAUUAUAAAUGAGGUCGAUGGCGAUGGGCGCGUGAUGAGGACAUCACUAACAAACUUACACCCACAGCCCCUACUGAUACAUAUACAGGACCAAUUACUAGAGCUCGCGCACGGCAAUUAAAUUACCAGGUACUUUCGUUUCUUGGUAAUGAUUCUAAUGUUCAUGAGAAUAUGUUGCUGCCUAAAUUGGAUACAUUUGUCUUACUUACAAAUGAAGGGCCUAGCUUGGACAAGAAGGAUGAUCAUUGGAGCAAGAUCAAGCAUGGAGAUGAUGGCAUGCGCAAGGGGAACAAGAACGGAGUUACAAGUGAUGAUUUCAGGACUUUGAAGCCACCAUAAUGAGUGCGUGAAGCCUUGGACGAAAUAUACAAGAGGCCACUUCAUAAAUUUUGUCCAGAGGCUAUUAUAGGUGCUGCGUCACCUUAUUAUUGGGCCAGGCCCAUGUAAUUUCGAAAUACUUGAGUAUAGGCUGUUUUUAGAGUUUGUAUGUGUGGGGAAACAAGAGUUAGGGUUGGUUUCGGACCCCUCCUCCAAGGGCCACGAAAUUCCCCCCUCUUCCUCCAUAUAUACAGCCCUUAGGGCAUCGUUUAGACUUUGCGUUUUGUUUAGAUUAAAGUUCGCCAUAGCUACAACUUCGCGUUCUUCGUUUAUGUUCAACGACCAAACAAAGGCACCACAGAACCCCACCUUGAUCAAUAAAGCUUUCCUCUUAUAUUCGAAAUAUCCAGAUUGGGAUCUUAGUUUGUUGCUUGUUCUUCGUUUUCCUGCAGGAAACAGGCCUUCUUGGUCAGGUUGAUCGUGCUCCAGUGUGGUCAAUAACCUCUCGGAGUUGGUUUCGCGACUGCUAAGGCGCGACGUCCUCGCACGUUCGUAGUCGAGUCGUCAAAGUCGACUUCCUCCAAAACAAUAGCCACCAUCUCAUCGAAAGACGGGACACCUUUGCCUCUAUCAAGUGGUAUCGGAUUUCCAGGUUGCUCGGUGAGAUUUUACAGUUUUUCGUAGUUUAGAUCGAGUCUGUUCUUCAUACCUAUAGUCCACGAAAAAGGCAAAAAAAUAGGGUUAGUUCAUCUUGUCCGAACCAAUCUGAGCCUUUGCAUAAUCUUUUCUGUAUUUGCUUUGUUGAAUUUGUGGUUGCAUCGUCGUGUCAAGUUGCUGGUCUUAGCGUCUAGUCCUUUAGAGUUUCGAGUUCUGUUCACAAGUUGUCACGCCGCCGCACCACCAUCAUCACCGCUGCCAUAUACCACCAUCAUCAUCACCGCUGCCAUAUACCACCAUCGUCAUCACCGCUGCCAUAUACCACCAUCAUCAUCGCCGCUGCCAUAUACCACAUAUCCACCGCCAUCACACUAAUCCGAGUCCACCUUCAUCACAGAUUCGCCACUAGUCCGUGUUCCACCGCCCUGCAUAUAUCCGCCACCAGUCCAAGUUUCCACCAGAUUCAUCUCCGCCACCAGUCCUAGUUCGAGUCCAGUAAUUGUUGCUUUGUUUUUGAUUUCCAGAUCAUGCCAUACUCCGAGUCAUGACCAAGUCGGACUCCCGAAAUUCCGUGCUACCCGCGGUAGAAAAAUAGUUCCAGUUUAAAAAAAACUAAGUCUGGAAAAUUCUGCCUAGGCAGUUUUUAGGACAUUUGUAGACUUUUUCGAAAAAAAAUUGUUGCGGAGCAAAAAAAUAGAGGACAAGAAAAGUGCAAAAAAAUGUGCAAAGAAAGAGAAAAAAAUUCAGAGUGUGCUCCUCCCUUGUUUACGUGCAGCGCCAUGAUUUUGUUAGUGUUCUAGGCUCGUGUCUCUAGCACGGUCUAGCCUAGGACCACAUUACCAUCGUUGAGCGUUUAUUCAACUUUGCAUCCCUGAAUUGAUUAUUGCAGACCCUUUUUGCUACCAUAUUAUAAGCCUUCCCAGCUCCACAUACAUCUACGUCGUGCGUUUGACUCUCCCUGGCAAUCGCUCUAUCCAAGCUUUUGAGAGUUUUGACUACAACGGUUGCCGAUCACCACCUGCUGCUUGGUAAGAACUGGUAAGAUUUUGAGAUUCGCUUGACGGAUUUGUGACACGCCAGCACCACUUCCUAGUAGUCUGUAGGAUCAUAUUCUUGUGUGUUUCUAUUGCUGCUAACCAUGGCAGGAUCACAAGCCGAUGAGACUGACUGGGAGAACAUGACGAACAAGGAGUUACAUGAUAAGUUUCAGCAAAUGAUGAGUGGACAGGUGGAAGAUGUGCUAAAUAGAUUUGAAGAGGCCAUGGAGAAGAUAGAUGGCAUUGAGAAGGCGUUCGAAACAAAGCUCGAUAACAAGUUUAAUGAAUUGCUCGCGCGUCUUCCACAACCACCGCCCGCUGCACCUAUCGCACCUCUACAACAACAACAACAACAACAUCGCCUUCCAAAUCAAGUGGGACGAGCACAGCGCGUUCCCCUUGAGCCUGGUCAAACUUCUGGUGCCGCUGUACAUACUGUUGAUGCUUCUGUAGCUCCUGCUACUACUGCAGAGGUGGAGGACCAUUACGAGGAUGAGGUUGAUCAAAAUCAGAACUACGUGCAACCACCGGCACCACCACCACCAGGUCGUCCUCAUGCAUAUCAUCGCAACGGUAGGGCUGCACCACCUGAGGUACAAGCUCAUGACCAUCUUCCUAAACUAAAAUUGAAUAUUCCACCAUUUGAGGGUAGAUAUGUUCCUGAUAUAUAUCUUACUUGGGAGUUAGAAACUGAACAAUGGUUUACAUGUUUACAAUAUCCUAAGGAGAGACGUGUUCCUGCUGCUGUUUGUGCUUUCACUAGUUUUGCAUGUGUUUGGUGGUCUGAACAUUGUAGAUUGUAUCCCAUUCCAGCUACUUGGGCUGCCUUGUAAACUGCUAUGCGUACUCGUUGGGUUCCACCUUAUUAUCAACGUGAAUUACUUCAAAAAUUGCAGCGCUUAAGACAAGGAAAAAAUUCUGUAGAAGAAUAUUAUCAGGAAUUACAAACUGGCAUGAUUAGAUGUGGUAUUGUUGAGGAGAAUGAAGAUAUGCUUGCACGUUUUAUGGGUGGAUUAAAUAGAGAGAUUCAGACCAUUCUAGAGUAUAAGGAGUAUAAUAAUAUCACUCGUUUAUUCCAUCUUGCUUGUAAAGCUGAACAUGAAGUGCAGGAUCGACAGGCAUUGGCACGGACUAACUUUUCUGCAGGUUGACCUUCAUCAUGGACACUGCGUGCAUCCUCUACUUCCACACAUUCUACUGCACCGACACCUCCAUCAGCGGCCACCUCCAGCCGUGAUACAAGAAAGCAGGCACAACCACCACUAUCUACCAAGAGCACACCUGACGAGCCUGUACAGAGCUCUUCUUCUUCCAUGGCAUCAACAGGGCACACAAGUGAUAUUAUUUGUCGUUGUUGUAAGGGAAGAGAUCAUUAUGCGAGAGAACGCAAAUCUCGACGUGUGAUGAUUGCUACUGAGGAUGGUGGUUAUGAGUCCACUAGUGACUAUGAUGAUGAGACUUUGGCUCUUAUUACACGUGAAAUACACGGUGGAGAUGAUUCUGAAAAUGAGACGCAAUACAUGGCUCCUGAAGACACUGACAGGUAUGAAUGUUUAGUUGCUCAACGUGUUUUGAGUGUGCAGGUCACACAAGCCGAGCAAAAUCAGAGGCAUAAUUUGUUCCAUACAAAGGGAGUGGUGAAGGAACGUUCUGUUCGCGUCAUCAUAGAUGGAGGGAGAUGCAACAACUUGGCUAGCAUGGAGAUGGUGGAGAAGCUAUCUCUCACCACAAGACCACAUCCACAUCCUUACUAUAUCCAAUGGUUCAAUAACAGCGGCAAGGUUAAGGUAACACGUACUGUUCGUGUGCAUUUUAGUAUCUCUACAUAUGCUGAUUAUGUUGAUUGUGAUGUGGUACCCAUGCAAGCAUGUUCCUUAUUACUUGGUAGACCAUGGCAAUUUGAUAAAAAUUCUGUACACCAUGGUAGGAACAAUCAGUAUACUCUUGUUCAUAAGGAUAAAAAUAUUACCUUGCUUCCUAUGACUCCUGAUUCCAUUUUUAAAGAUGAUAUUAAUAGAGCUAAUAAAGCAAAACAGGAGCACAACAAGAGUGAAAAUCAAAUUGUGGCAAAAGAAUUUGAGCAACAAAUGAAGCCUAAUAAUAAACCAUCUAGUGUUGUUUCUGAAAUUAAAUUGAAAAGUGCAUGUUUACUUGCCACCAAAUCUGAUAUUGAUAAUCUAGAUUUCAGCAAAUCUGUUUGCUAUGCUUUUGUGUGCAAAGAGGCAUUAUUUUCAUUCGAGGACAUGCCUUCCUCUUUGCCUCCUAUUGUUACUAACUUUUUGCAGGAGUUCGCUGACGUCUUUCCACAAGACGUGCCACCGGGAUUACCACCUAUUCGAGGGAUUGAGCAUCAGAUUGACUUAAUUCCCGGUGCUUCGCUACCCAACCGUGCACCAUACCGUAACAAUCCAGAGGAGACAAAGGAGAUUAUGCGUCAAGUCCAGGAGCUGCUCGAGAAAGGUUAUAUUCGUGAAUCCCUUAGUCCUUGUGUUGUUCCUAUUAUUCUAGUGCCGAAAAAGGAUGGUACAUCGCGUAUGUGUGUUGAUUGUAGAUGCAUUAAUAAUAUUACUAUUCGUUAUCUUCAUCCUAUUCCUAGGCUAGAUGAUAUGCUUGAUGAACUGAGUGGCUCUACAAUAUUCUCCAAAGUUGAUUUGCGUAGUGGAUACCAUCAAAUUCGUAUGAAAUUGGGAGAUGAAUGGAAAACUGCAUUUAAAACUAAGUUUGGUUUAUAUGAGUGGUUAGUCAUGCCUUUUGGGUUAACUAAUGCACCUAGUACUUUCAUGAGAUUAAUGAACGAAGUUUUACGUGCUUUCAUUGGACGAUUUGUGGUAGUCUACUUUGAUGAUAUACUGAUUUAUACUAAAUCUUUGGAGGAGCAUUUGGAACAUUUACGUGCUAUUUUUAUUGCUCUACGUGAUGCACACUUGUUUGGUAACCUUGGAAAGUGCACCUUUUGCACCGACCGAGUAUCUUUUCUUGGCUAUGUUGUUACUCCACAGGGAAUUGAAGUUGAUAAAGCCAAGAUUGAAGCUAUUGAGAGUUGGCCGCAGCCCAAAACGGUCACACAAGUGAGGAGUUUCCUUGGCCUCGCUGGUUUCUAUAGGCGUUUUGUGAGAGAUUUCAGCACCAUUGCUGCACCUCUCAACGAGCUUACAAAGAAGGAUGUGCCUUUUGUUUGGGGUACCGCACAGGAAGAAGCCUUCACGGUAUUGGAAGAUAAGUUGACACAUGCUCCUUUACUCCAACUUCCUGAUCUUAAUAAGACUUUUGAGCUUGAAUGUGAUGCUAGUGGAAUUGGACUAGGAGGUGUGUUAUUACAAGAUGGCAAACCUGUUGCAUACUUUUCUGAAAAAUUGAGUGGGCCUAGUCUGAACUAUUCUACUUAUGAUAAAGAAUUAUAUGCUCUUGUUCGGACCUUAGAAACAUGGCAACAUUAUUUAUGGCCCAAGGAAUUUGUUAUACAUUCUGAUCAUGAAUCUUUGAAACAGAUUAAAAGUCAAGCAAAACUGAACCGUAGACAUGCUAAAUGGGUUGAAUUCAUUGAGACUUUCCCUUAUGUCAUUAAACACAAGAAGGGUGAAGAAAAUCUUAUUGCUGAUGCAUUGUAUCGUCGUUAUACUAUGCUUUCACAACUUAACUUUAAAAUAUUUGGUUUGGAGACCAUCAAAGAUCAAUAUGUGCAUGAUGCUGAAUUUAAAGAUGUAUUGCAGAAUUGUAAGGAAGGGAGAACUUAGAACAAGUUCGUCGUUAAUGAUGGAUUUGUGUUUCGUGCUAACAAGCUAUGCAUUCCAGCUAGCUCCAUUCGUCUUUUGUUGUUGCAGGAGGCGCAUGGAGGAGGAUUAAUGGGAUGCUUUGGCGUGAAGAAGACGGAGGAUAUACUUGCUACACAUUUCUUUUGGCCAAAGAUGAGACGGGAUGUUGAGCGUUUUGUUGCUCGCUGCACUACAUGUCAAAAAGCCAAGUCACGACUCAAUCCUCAUGGUUUAUAUAUGCCUUUACCUGUACCUAGUGUUCCUUGGAGGAUAUAUCUAUGGACUUUGUUUUACGUUUACCUCGAACAAAGAAGGGGAGGGAUAGCAUAUUUGUUGUCGUGGAUAGGUUCUCGAAAAUGGCACACUUUAUACCAUGUCAUAAAACCGAUGAUGUUGUUAAUGUUGCUGAUUUGUUCUUUCGUGAAAUUAUUCGCUUGCACGGUGUGCUAAAUACUAUUGUUUCGGAUCGUGAUACUAAAUUUCUUAGCCAUUUUUGGAGAUGUUUAUGGGCUAAGUUGGGGACUAAACUGCUUUUUAGUACUACAUGUCAUCCCAAAACUGAUGGACAAACUGAAGUAGUCAAUAGAACAUUGUCUACCAUGCUUAGGGCCGUUUUGAAGAAUAACAAGAGAGUGUGGGAAGAAUGCUUGCCUCAUAUUGAAUUUGCUUAUAAUCGGUCACAUGGGGCAAUCUGUAAAGAGCAGACACCUAGAAUUUUGAG
rnacentral:lncRNA from 1 species